UACAGAGGUGGCAAGCGUUGUUCGGAAUUACUGGGCGUAAAGGGCGCGUAGGCGGUCUUUUAAGUCUUGUGUGAAAUCCCUCGGCUCAACUGAGGAACUGCACGGGAUACUGGAAGACUUGAGUUCGGGAGAGGGAAGCGGAAUUCCGGGUGUAGCGGUGAAAUGCGUAGAUAUCCGGAGGAACACCGGUGGCGAAGGCGGCUUCCUGGACCGAUUACUGACGCUGAGCGCGAAAGCUAGGGGAGCAAACGGG
rnacentral:rRNA from 1 species